CACACAUUUACCGACAAAGCCGUUCGAGCAAGCACCUCACUACGUACCUACCAUUCAUUACGACGGCACCGCACUGCCUCCACUAACCGAUGCACUGACACCAAACCCAUACCGAAUUUGAAUUUUUGUUUUUGUAUAUUUUUUUUUUCAAAUCGCAUCUGCCGCCAGCUAGCGCGCGCUCCAAUUUUUUCCACAUUUUGACAAGCUGUCAGUUUCCGCGCCAUUUUCCGAUUGUAUUUUUAUUUCCAACCAGUGUUUGUUUGUUUGUUUUUUUAGUCUAUAUUGUGAAUGUACGCGGGUUGAGUUGCAUCGUUUUUUGGAACUAAAGGUGUACAGGAUGUCUCAAAACUGCAAAUCUACGUACACAACCGCCACAACAAGGGACGCUAACAACAACACGCUGUAUCACAGCGGCUCCGCCCAGGGUUAUGGAGGACGAGGCUAUACACCUCCAGGAGUCGCUAGCAAUGGCAACUAUAAGCAAGUGACGGCGAAAGUGCUCUUCGGCAGUGUGACGUCGAUCAAUGACCUCAAACGGCAGGAGAAGGGAGAGCGCGAGGCGCGGCGGACGCAUUAGCGCCAUCUAGUUGGAGGCAGAAAUGUGAUAAGAAAAUAUCGAAGCUAAGGAGUGAUCUCGGAGAACAAUGUAGUAUCAGAGCCAGAUAUUACCGUAUACUUAACAACAAUAAGUAGUUAGUUAUAGAACAAAAACGUUAAAAAUUACUAUUAUUUAGAUUAUUAAAUUGUAUCUAGUUUUUAAGUCUAUCUAAAAUAGUAUUUUGGAUCAAAUUAAAAGGUUGCCAUGAAACAAUAUUGCUAAGUCAAAAAAUUAUUAAUAUUCUCGAGAAAAUCUAAAGUCAACUGUCAAUUUAUUCACAUCACACGUCUGUGAUUUGUUGUUUUUCUUAAAAGAUUUAUAGAUUUUUAUAAAUACAAUAUGUUUAACUAAUACAAGGUCAUUUAAAUUGAUCUAGUCUAGAUUUCUAAAAAAAAUAUAUAAAUUAAUAAAAAAAAUUAUAUGCAUAGUUUAAAUGACCAAGAUAUUCGGAUUUUUUAUAAAUCUACAUUUUACUGUUAAUUCAAACAAAUUGUAACGUAUAAGAAAAUUUAUCAAUGUAAUCUAAGUUCAUAGAGUAAUACAGAUUGAUAAUUAACUAAUUAUAUAAUGUAUUCAAUUACCAUUUCAUACUUUGUCAUUUUGCUCAUCCAUUCUCCGUAUUUUUAUCACGAAAUUUUUAUAUCAUUUCCUAUUGCACUUUGGUAAAUUAAUGACAAUGAUGUACCUAUGUACCUAAUCAUUGGAAUACAAACCUUGUUUUUAUGCUUAAUUCAGAAAAAUACCCAUAAAACUAGCAUUUUAUGACAACUUUCUGUAAGACGGUGAUAUUGUACUGACUAAACGGUCCUGGUUGAAUCGGCCUAUUUACAGCUGGUAUAUCAAGGCCUUUCUCACAUCAAAGCAAAAUGUUCUAAAUAGUUCGUAUUAUUCUUGAUGGAAUAAAGUUUUGUUAUUUAUGUCA